CACACUCACAAGUGUCGUUAAGAAAAAAGCAACGUUAAUUUGUAAAGACCGGAGAAUUACCGGUGGUGGCAACUCUUCCGCUACCCCCCUGACACCGGCGGAGGACCGGAUUGUGGGACUCCUCAGCAAGGCUGACUACGAGGGCAUCGAUGGAGGCUUUGAGACUGGGUUGCCAGUGGACUUCUUGGAGACCACAACUUCAGUCAGUAAAGUUGUUGAAGUCGAUGCUACACAACCGCCUCCUGAAAAGAAAACACGUCUGCUGAAGUCAUCACCAGAAACCCUUGCUCUGCUAGAAAUUGAGAGGGAGAAGCUUCAAUUAGACAGAGAGAGAGUCGCCAUUGAAAGAGAGCGACUCCUCCUUGAGAGGGAAAAAUUUGAAUGGGAGAAGAGUAGGGCCAGAGUGUGCAAAAAAUGUUUAAC